GGGCCCGCACAAGCGGUGGAGCAUGUGGUUUAAUUCGAUGAUACGCGAGGAACCUUACCAGGGUUUAAAUGCAGAACGACAGGGGUGGAAACACCCCCUUCUUCGGACGGACUGCAAGGUGCUGCAUGGUUGUCGUCAGCUCGUGCUGUGAAGUGUCGGGUUAAGUCCCAUAACGAGCGCAACCCCCAUUUCUAGUUGCCUAGCGGUUCUGGCCGGGGACUCUAGAGAAACUGCCAGCGUAAGCUGUGAGGAAGUGGGAUGACGUCAAAUCAUCACGGCCCUUACAUCCUGGGCCACACACGUGCUACAAUGGUGGGGACAACAGGUUGCCAACCCGCGAGGUGAGCCAAUCCCAAAACCCCAUCUC
rnacentral:rRNA from 1 species